rnacentral:tRNA from 1 species
AAUAAAGUGGCUGAGUAAAAGCGGCAAAUUGUAAAUUUGUAGACGAAAUUAAAAUUCCUUUAUUA